GUCCCGCAGUGAAGCCCAUCUCUCCCACCGGUGUAGAUGCCCCGGCUAGGGUGGCGCACCCAGACUCACUUACAGUCCGGAGCCAUGGAAUUUUACAAAUCAUGAAUCGCCCGGCACAAUGGGUGGUCAUCAUCACACUUCUGAUCUCUUGGUCAAUAGCGGGUGUUGUCAUGUUUGACUUUGUCAGUGACGAUCAGAUUGCAAGUAAGUUUUAAAAAGGCCUUAUUAAUUUUCACAGUUCCUGUUUUAUUUACUCUUGUCCUGUUGUUGGAUUUUUUGGUUCACUCUGAAUUGUUUUUAUAGGCAUCCAAGAUUUCGGCUCUGAUCCAGUGCUAGCAGUGAACAAAGCCACUGAAGUCAUUGAAAACAGGAUAAAUCACAUGAAUGAUAUGUUUAAUGAUGCUCAAGAGUACAUCACUGAAAUAAUAUUAAAUCCAGUGGAAGCUAUGAGUUCAGCUGCUGACUCAUCUGUGUCUUAUCUGUCAGGAUUAUUUAGUGCCGAUGUAGAUUUAGGAAUCACUGAAACAGUGAAAUAUGGGGGCACUGUAUUGGAUGAGGCUACAGAAUGGAUCAGAUCGCCAGUGAGCUAUGUAUUCCAUUUAUUUGAAGACAUACUGGAUAUAGUGGUUGCUCCAGUGGAUAUGGUCAGUGAAGCUCUUGUGCAAAUUUUAAGUGGGAUCAAGACUGUUAUACAGUAUAUUUCCACAAUGUUUGGAGGCAUUGAAGAGCACACAGGCAUCACUGAAACAGUGAAACUUGGUGGCACUGUAUUGGAUGAGGUUACUGACCGGAUUAGAUUCCCAGUGGCCUACUUAUUCCACUUAUUUGAAGAUAUCCUGGAUGUAGCAAUCAUUUAUCCAGCAGACAUUGUCAGUGAAGCAGCUCAGCAAAUGUUAAGUGGGAUCAAGACCCUUUCUUCAUCCAUAUUCGGGAACCUUGAAGCUUGGUUUCCCAAAAUAAGCACUGAUCCUGCAGAGCUGACUGAAAUAGUUGUAGAGGAGGCCACAGAACUGAAGACCACCGUUUCUAAUUACCUAUCCAGUCUGUUUGCAGUGGAUGAAGGUUGUAUUCCUGACAUUAGCUUUGAUCCCAUGAAAGUUGUCACAGACACUGUUGAGGAGUUUGCUGACAGGAGGGAUAUGUUCUUGGCUUAUCUCUCAAACAUGCUCAUGGAAGACAAAGAUGACACACCGCAAGUGAUAAGACGAAAAGGAGAAUUUCUGCCCCCUAUGGAAAAAGUUGCAGAAAUACUAGGCAAAACACAGGAUCCUGCCUAUGCUGCCUACAUUGCUGCGAGAUCCACAGACAGUACUAAACAGGAAAUAAAAGAGGUAGAAGCUGCUGAAGAUACAACUGAAAGAGCUCAAGAUAUUGUGGACACUCCAAAGGAGGAAAGGAGAGUUGAAACGGCUUGGGACCGCUCUGAUGUCACAGUUGAAGACGAUGAGGUUACCUACGAUGUCACGGAGGAGGAUAAAACUGCUGGAACAGUUGAAGAUAUUGCAGAUGUCACACAGGAGGAACUUUCUGAUAAAGCAGAAGUGAAAGCUGAGGAAGAAGCAACUGAAAAGGUUGAGGAUAUCUCAGAUUUCGCAGAGGACACAUCAACUGAAAUGACUGAAUCUGAUGAAUCUGAUGCUUCAGAUAUGAAAGACACUGACGAUACCUCAGAUGUUGUUACAGAGGAAGAAGAAGUUACUGAAACAUCUGAUAUUCCAGAAGUAACAGAUGACGAAAUAGAAACAGAAAAAUGUGAAGAUAUCUCUGAUUUUAAAGAGGACAAAUCAGCUGAAAUGACCUCUGAUGUGACGGAAGACAUUGAUGCGGUUACAGAGGAGGAAAUAGUUAUUAAAACAGCUGAAGAUAUUCUAGAUGUUACAGAGGAGGACACAUAUGACAUUCCAGAAGUCAUAGAUGAGGAAUUAGCCACUGAAAAGGCUAAUGAUAUCUUUGACUCUGUAGAGGAUGAGUUAACUAUGAUGACCUCUGAUGUGACAGAAGACACUGAUUACACCUCGGAUGUUGUUACAGAGGGAGAAGUUGAUAAACCAGUUGAAGAUAUUGCAGAUGUUACAGAGGAUGAACCAUCUGAUAUGCCAGAAGUCAUUGGCAAUGAUGAUACCUCAGAUCAAGAUACCUCUGCCGUUAUAGAGGAGAAAGAGUCAACUGAAACAAUUAAAGAAGCAACAAUUGAAACAGCAGAAGGUACUUCCUAUGUUACAACCAAAACUGAAUUAGAUAAUACAGAUGAAAAUGAAUUUCAGAAAUAUCCCAGUGUUACAGAGGAGGAGGAAAAACCUGAAAAAGUUAAAGAUACUUCUGAUUUGAUAAGUAAGGAAGAAGAACCUGAGACAGAUGAAGAUGCCAGCACUGAAGAAACAGCCGAAGAGUCGAUAGAAAAAGAACAGCCACGUGAAUUGGCUGAAGCUACUGUGACCAUCUCUGUAAAAGACAAGACUGAAGUAACAGAACUUGAUGAUCUUGAAGUGCUGGGUAAGGAUGACAUGAAAGUGGAAGGCAAGGAGGAGAAGGAAGAUGUGGUGAAUGCUGAAAAGGUCACAAAGAACCUGGAGAACGAUCUAGAUGAAGAUGAGGUUGAGGUUUUAAAAGAGGAGACUAAAGAUCAAACUAUCUUUGGAACCACCGCUGGUCAAGAUGGCCAUGAUGAUGAAGAGGAGCUUGUCCUUUCUCCUGUCCAGCAGGACCUAACAAACAGAGAUGAUGAAAAUAACAAUAACAAUGACAGGAAGAAAGAUGCCAUAAAAAGAGGCCUGAGCGGGAGAAAACCAUCAAAGAGUCACUCCACUGAAACAGAUGACCAAGAAGCUCACAAGCAUCUUCAUGAAGUUCUUGAACAAGUGAAAGAAGCCAAAGAGAAAAAAGCUAGAGAGGAGAUAUACAAAAUCAUUCAAGAUCUGAGGGAGAAGAAGGCUGAUGGUGAAGAGGAGGAGAUGACACUACAGCAAAUAAACAUAACAGUAGAAAAAGUCAAGAAAAGAAAAGAACAUGAGAAAAACGAGAUAGAAAAGGCUAAAAGAAAACAAAAAUCCAAAGAGGACAAGACUGAAGAACCAACAAGACCUGAGAAAAAGGUUAAACCAACUAAGAAAGAUGUUGAGAUGGCCAAGGACAAAACAGCCCAUGUAAAGAAAGAAGCUGAAGUGGCCAAAAAAGAGACCAAAUCAGCACCAUCUAAGAAAGGUAUUGUUUUAAGAGAUCUUGCUUUACUUAGCACUUAUAAUAAAGCAAAUUCAUAA
ensembl:lncRNA